rnacentral:rRNA from 1 species
UACAGAGGGGGCAAGCGUUGUUCGGAAUUACUGGGCGUAAAGGGCGCGUAGGCGGCCUGUUAAGUCUAACGUGAAAUCCCUGGGCUCAACCCAGGAACUGCGUCCGAUACUGGCAGGCUUGAAUUCGGGAGAGGGAUGUGGAAUUCCAGGUGUAGCGGUGAAAUGCGUAGAUAUCUGGAGGAACACCGGUGGCGAAGGCGGCAUCCUGGACCGAUAUUGACGCUGAGGCGCGAAAGCCAGGGGAGCAAACGGG